rnacentral:lncRNA from 1 species
ACUGAACAUAAGGAAAGUAAGAAAAACACAUUAAAAUGAAAGAUACUCAUUCUAGGAUUGAUUAGAGAAAUUUUAAGAAUGGGUCAAGACAUGAUGAAAUGUAAGCUGAGAUAUUUCCAAUUGGUAAGUAGUAAAUAAACUGAGACAAUAUCUUUGAUCCUACUGUACUCUUAAAAUCAUGUGAAGUAUGUUUUAAUUUGUAUAGGUGAAGUCUAUAAGGGUGCAGUUUAUAGGGUCCUGGGAAUAUAGAAAGGAUAUUUGAUUUUGUGGUCACUACUUUGCUUAUCUGAUGAAAGUGAUUGUAACUCAUAGGAAAAUAAUUGAAGAAAUGGAGAAAAAACUACAGCAAGCAGAGAGCUCCUUCAAACAAGAGGUAACAGUCUUUCUAUUGGCAAUCCCAGCAUUCUACAGUAUCUAACUCAUAUAUAAGUACUAGUCUUUAGAAUCCCCAAACAUAUAUAUGUUUAUAUGUUGUGUUUUUCAGAUUGCUCUUUAUGAGAAGAAGGAACAUGACAACUGGGUAGGAUUUUGUUGUGGUGGUGGCUCCUUCUUUUUUUUCAGUUUCUACUACAAAUGAAUGUGCAUGUAUGUUUGUUCUCUAUAGAUCAGAAUUCGAGAUCUAGAGAAAGCGAUAGUCAAGGAGACCAGAGAAGCUGCCUACCUGAGAUCCAGAUUGGAAAAACAUCAAAAUAAGAAGGCACAAGAAGAAUGUGGCAUUAAGGCCCCAAUGCUGGGAAGAACUGACAUGCAAAACCCUCCAUGCAGAGGACCUGGUGCAGCUCCCAUGAAGAACAACAACUCCAGAAGCUCAUUCCCUGCUAAGAUGAUGGAAGAAGGCAAGGAUAAUAUGGCUGCAAGUGGGCCCCCUCCUUUCCAAGGAUCACCCUUCAUGCCCUACCCCAUGGGAGGCCCUCCACCACCAUGA